AUGUGGGAGGAAUGCUUGCCUCAUAUUGAAUUUGCUUAUAAUCGUUCAUUGCAUUCUACUACUAAGAUGUGCCCUUUUGAAGUUGUGUAUGGUUUCCUACCUCGUGCACCUAUUGAUUUGUUGCCUCUUCCAUCUUCGGAGAAGGUUAAUUUUGAUGCUAAACAACGUGCUGAAUUGAUUUUAAAAAUGCAUGAGUUAACUAAGGAAAACAUUGAGCGUAUGAAUGCUAAAUAUAAACUUGCUGGAGAUAAGGGUAGAAAACAUGUUGUGUUUGCACCUGGAGAUCUUGUUUGGUUACAUUUGCGUAAGGAUAGAUUUCCUGAUUUGCGGAAAUCAAAGCUAAUGCCACGUGCUGAUGGUCCCUUUAAGGUGUUAGAGAAAAUAAAUGAUAAUGCAUAUAAACUUGAGCUGCCUGCAGAUUUUGGGGUUAGUCCCACUUUUAACAUUGCAGAUUUGAAGCCUUAUUUGGGUGAGGAAGAUGAGUUUUCGUCGAGGACGACUUCAUUUCAAGAAGGGGAGGAUGAUGAGGACAUCAAUACCAUUGUUACACCCACAGCCCCUACUGCUACAUAUACGGGACCAAUUACUAGAGCUCGUGCACGCCAACUAAAUUACCAGGAAACAGACCCUCGUGGUCAGGUUGAUCGUGCUCCGGCGUGGUCAAUAACCUCUCGGAGUUGGUUUAGCGAUUGCUAA
rnacentral:rRNA from 1 species